rnacentral:rRNA from 1 species
CGGUGAAUACGUUCCCGGACCUUGCACACACCGCCCCGUCAAGCCAUGGAAGCUGGGUGUACCUAAAGUCGGUAACCGUAAGGAGCCGCCUAGGGUAAAAACUAGUGACUGGGGCU